rnacentral:rRNA from 1 species
UACGGAGGGGGGCUAGCGUUGUUCGGAAUUACUGGGCGUAAAGCGCACGUAGGCGGCUUUGCAAGUCAGAGGUGAAAGCCCGGGGGCUCAACCCCGGGAAUAGCCUUUGAGACUGCAUCGCUUGAACAUCGGAGAGGUAAGUGGAAUUCCGAGUGUAGAGGUGAAAUUCGUAGAUAUUCGGAAGAACACCAGGUGGCGAAGGCGACUUACUGGACGAUUGUUGACGCUGAGGUGCGAAAGCGUGGGGAGCAAACAGG